rnacentral:rRNA from 1 species
UGGGGAAUCAUGGUCAAUGGGCGAAAGUCUGAUCUAGCAACACCGCGUGUGCGAAGAAGGCCUUCGGGUUGUAAAGCACUUUUUGGAAGGAUUAGGAAGGAAUGUACUUCCAGAAUAAGUCUCGGCUAACUACGUGCCAGCAGCCGCGGUAACACGUAGGAGGCAAACGUUAUCCGGAUUUACUGGGCGUAAAGCGCGUGUAGGUGGUUCCGUAAGUAGGGCGUGAAAGCUCCUGGCUCAACUGGGAGAGGCCGUUCUAAACUGCAGAGCUAGAGGAUGGUAGAGGGAGGUGGAAUUCCGGGUGUAGCGGUGGAAUGCGCAGAUAUCCGGAGGAACACCAGUGGCGAAAGCGGCCUCCUGGACCAUUCCUGACACUCAGACGCGAAAGCUAGGGUAGCAAACG